ACCCUUUGUGACAUACCUACAACUGUUGCUUCGGCGGGUAGGGUCCCCGUGACCCUCCCGGCCUCCCGCCCCCCCGGGCGGGUCGGCGCCCGCCGGAGGAUAACCAAACUCUGAUUUAACGACGUUUCUUCUGAGUGGUACAAGCAAAUAAUCAAAACUUUUAACAACGGAUCUCUUGGUUCUGGCAUCGAUGAAGAACGCAGCGAAAUGCGAUAAGUAAUGUGAAUUGCAGAAUUCAGUGAAUCAUCGAAUCUUUGAACGCACAUUGCGCCCGCCAGCAUUCUGGCGGGCAUGCCUGUUCGAGCGUCAUUUCAACCCUCAAGCUCUGCUUGGUGUUGGGGCCCUACAGCUGAUGUAGGCCCUCAAAGGUAGUGGCGGACCCUCCCGGAGCCUCCUUUGCGUAGUAACUUUACGUCUCGCACUGGGAUCCGGAGGGACUCUUGCCGUAAAACCCCCCAAUUUUCCAAAGGUUGACCUCGGAUCAGGUAGGAAUACCCGCUGAACUUAAGCAUAUCAAAARGSSGGAGGAAA
rnacentral:rRNA from 1 species